AUGAACGCUAGCUACAGGCUUAACACAUGCAAGUCGAGGGGCAGCAUGGUCUUAGCUUGCUAAGGCCGAUGGCGACCGGCGCACGGGUGAGUAACACGUAUCCAACCUGCCGUCUACUCUUGGACAGCCUUCUGAAAGGAAGAUUAAUACAAGAUGGCAUCAUGAGUCCGCAUGUUCACAUGAUUAAAGGUAUUCCGGUAGACGAUGGGGAUGCGUUCCAUUAGAUAGUAGGCGGGGUAACGGCCCACCUAGUCUUCGAUGGAUAGGGGUUCUGAGAGGAAGGUCCCCCACAUUGGAACUGAGACACGGUCCAAACUCCUACGGGAGGCAGCAGUGAGGAAUAUUGGUCAAUGGGCGAGAGCCUGAACCAGCCAAGUAGCGUGAAGGAUGACUGCCCUAUGGGUUGUAAACUUCUUUUAUAAAGGAAUAAAGUCGGGUAUGCAUACCCGUUUGCAUGUACUUUAUGAAUAAGGAUCGGCUAACUCCGUGCCAGCAGCCGCGGUAAUACGGAGGAUCCGAGCGUUAUCCGGAUUUAUUGGGUUUAAAGGGAGCGUAGAUGGAUGUUUAAGUCAGUUGUGAAAGUUUGCGGCUCAACCGUAAAAUUGCAGUUGAUACUGGAUAUCUUGAGUGCAGUUGAGGCAGGCGGAAUUCGUGGUGUAGCGGUGAAAUGCUUAGAUAUCACGAAGAACUCCGAUUGCGAAGGCAGCCUGCUAAGCUGCAACUGACAUUGAGGCUCGAAAGUGUGGGUAUCAAACAGGAUUAGAUACCCUGGUAGUCCACACGGUAAACGAUGAAUACUCGCUGUUUGCGAUAUACUGCAAGCGGCCAAGCGAAAGCGUUAAGUAUUCCACCUGGGGAGUACGCCGGCAACGGUGAAACUCAAAGGAAUUGACGGGGGCCCGCACAAGCGGAGGAACAUGUGGUUUAAUUCGAUGAUACGCGAGGAACCUUACCCGGGCUUAAAUUGCAUCUGAAUAAUUUGGAAACAGAUUAGCCGUAAGGCAGAUGUGAAGGUGCUGCAUGGUUGUCGUCAGCUCGUGCCGUGAGGUGUCGGCUUAAGUGCCAUAACGAGCGCAACCCUUGUUGUCAGUUACUAACAGGUUCCGCUGAGGACUCUGACAAGACUGCCAUCGUAAGAUGUGAGGAAGGUGGGGAUGACGUCAAAUCAGCACGGCCCUUACGUCCGGGGCUACACACGUGUUACAAUGGGGGGUACAGAGGGCCGCUACCACGCGAGUGGAUGCCAAUCCCCAAAACCUCUCUCAGUUCGGACUGGAGUCUGCAACCCGACUCCACGAAGCUGGAUUCGCUAGUAAUCGCGCAUCAGCCACGGCGCGGUGAAUACGUUCCCGGGCCUUGUACACACCGCCCGUCAAGCCAUGGGAGCCGGGGGUACCUGAAGUGCGUAACCGCGAGGAGCGCCCUAGGGUAAAACUGGUGACUGGGGCU
rnacentral:rRNA from 1 species